rnacentral:lncRNA from 1 species
GCCAUAACACAUACGUUUUUCCAGCAGCAGACUAUGAUCGAUAACGUCAAAAGCCACACUGAAGUCUAACAAAGCAGCCCCCACAAUAUUUGUAUCAUCCAUUUCUCAUUGGGAGUGGAGACUGCUUUGCUGAGGCAGAAGAUGGCUCCCCUGGCGAACAAACUCCGGGCAACACCGGUCAGUCGGAUAAAGACAAACGAUAAGACAGAGAUGCAUCCAACAUGUGCGAACGCCGUCCACCCACCAGCGUAGAAAAGGUAAAUAUUCCACUCUGCGUUCCCCCCAGUUUCUUACGUAGGCUGGCAACCUGCGUGAUCAAGGAAGCCACUUCAAGCCUAUAAUCCUCGGCAAGCAAACAAUUGCUGGCUGCAUUGGAAAUCUGUGAUCCAGUUUGUCCCGAAACAACAUGUAGUAGAUACAGCGCUGGAACCGUUCAUUUACUUCUUCAGACAAAGAGGCCUCCAUUGGAAAACUCAUCUGGGACUAACUUUGUUAGCUUGAUGGCUAAGGUUAGCAGUUUAGCUAGGUCAGCGGCUCUUUCGAGCAAACUUUAACCUGUCAGUUAAGCGGGAUUCCAGGACAAGAAAUAGCGGCCCUAGCUGUUAAAAGCUAACCCAGUUCCGUACUCCAUGGAAAAACGAGUUUGGCAUUUAUAUUUAACAAAGAUUGGUUAUGUUUUAGUUAAAAUAACAAACCGAGUGUUUCCAGCAUACAAUGUUCAGCUGCGCACUCUGAUGACGUGGUAUGCCAGCCAUUAACAUUAAGCUCUAAGUGUAAGCAAACGAGCUGCGACGACAUAGGCCUUUGUUCAGCACUUUCAAACUGGACACCGACAGAAAUUCAGAUCGGUGUUAGUUAAGAUAAAAUCAGCAAGAUGUUGAGGCGUUUACUGCAAGCUAAACAGGUAGGGUGGGUCGCCACUGGCGUGCGCACAUAGGAGGUCCCGUGAAAAAUGUGCCCGCCUAUGGAAUUCAAAGGCCUGUCCAACUGAUUCGCCGGCCCUGCAACAUGGUGUCCCAUAUUAAGUACUACUGCUUGGAUAGAUAGGAGGUAUAGGGGUUGCAAGCAUACAGAAACCACACAUACAAACAGUAUUGAACAUUAUUUGCCGAUAUCAACUGGAACUGGACAUCUUUCAAGCUGAAGAUUGAGGCCAGCUUUUGUAUGCUAGCGUACACUCCUAAACAGUACUGGAUGAAAACACAGCAAGAAAACACUUGCUGGAAGAGUGUGGGACUGCUGUACCAAUUGUCCACAUUCAAAGUGUGUCCCUUGCCGAGAUGAGAAGCCAGCGUGGUCAUCACCGUGGAACCUGACACCCCAAGCCCCUCAUAAUGUUGGAUGUCAGUGGUGGAUCCUGUGUAAACUAUAAUGUCCUGGACAAAUCCUGUUUUCACGUCGCACAUAACAAAGCACUUGACCCCAAACCUGUGCCUUUUGGGUGGAAUAUAUUGACAGAACGCCAGCCUACCCUUCCAUAACAUCAGGGACUCAUCAAUGCAUAGCUCCUUGUAUGGCACAAAGACCCUACCAACUGCUAAUGUCAGGCUGGUAAGAACAUUUCGUAUUUUCGGUGUAACGGGUCAUUUAGGUUGGCAGUAGAAUUGUUGACGAAAUGCAGGCAUCGCAGCAGAAAUAGGAAGGGUCCUUGGGAAAAGAGGGUGGCAAAGAAGGGAGUUGCAAACAUAGGAUCUGUGCUCCAGUAUUCUCUUAGGGAGUUAUUCUUUACUAUUCCCAUGAGAAGGAUUGUCACCAGGAAGGUAUGCAAUUCACUAAUUGUGAUUGUCACCCUUUUAGCGAGUUUCCCCCUCCCUCCUGGCUCUCUCUUCUCCUGCAGCUCCCAAGACAUAGCGGUUGGUCUCCUCGAGUAUGUCUCCCACCAGCUCCUCUGUCAGAAACAGCUUGAAGCACUCUGCCUCAGAGGGAAAUGGCAAGGGGCUUUGCACUCCAGACUGGGACUCAUCAAAGCAAACAGCAGUGCCAGGAAAUGGCUGGUAGCCUUCCAGCUACCACAGACCUCCUGUACAUUAUCCACUGUCGGUCUGCCUCCAUCAACACCAGCAUCUUCAAAGGGACCUCAGGCUUCGUCAGGGGACAAGGGGUCCUCAGAUUCAGGGUUCUCAAUGGCUAGAAGGUUGGGGGGCAGCUCCUCGUUGUCACUGUCAGAAUCUGAUUCCUGACUUUGAUACUCAUUGUCAGAAUUGUAAAAAAUCUUUCCGCAUUUGUGAGUUGUCUCCUUUUGAAAGACAUUGCUGAUGCUACAGCUUAGCUCACUAGCUACAUACAUAAAGAACAACACUGAAUCGCUCAGGGUGGGAGUGAGGUUACAUAAUUGACUGCCGACACGCGCCACUUGUAUCGAUACAUCACUAUCAGAAAAUGUGUUGUGUGGUAAUUAUUUAUUUAUUUACUGUUUUAUUCACAUUUUCAAGUACUGGUGACAAAUCAUGCAUUCGGAUUCUUGCAUAGAUUGUAAUGGACACAUAUUAUGUGUGUAAAAUACUUUUUUGAAGGUUGUACUGAUUAUGAUGAGCUAAGCUAAUUCCAGCUAUGUGUGGAGCCAUGUUUGUUGAAAUACAAUGCAUUCUGGGUUUCAUAUAAACGUCUGUCGAACCAAGGAUGUUAUAACAAAAUGAGGUGAGGGAGGGUUCACUCACUUUUUGAGUAAACUUCUGGAAGUGAAUGAUGAGAUGUGAACGAUGGUAGACGACACACCCCCUUCAACAUGCAUACUAUAAACAGACCAAACUCAUCUUGUCUCCUCUUAUUAUCUUUGGUUGAUGAGAAAAAACAAACAUGGCGGUGUGCACAAACUACCCAUCGUUGGAUUACUUUCAAUUUCUAGAAAGUGUUUUACUCAAUUAUUUAGAUCAAUGGUGAGCUCACCCGUGAUGUGAUUAUUUUUAUAUACUAAUUGCUAUUAGCUAAUUCCUGCUGUAGUUUCUGUCAACCGAGAGUUAUGAAAAUAUGAACGCUUAUGUUACGUCAGUCUUUCCUCAGUUAGCGCUAGGAUAAAUGUAGCCUACAUUUUCUGGUUUGGAUGAUUGUGUUAUGUUGUAGCUACUGCUGUGAAUGUCUGAACAUUG